CAUCCUUCAUUCAGGCGAAAAGAAGGCCGCAUUCGUCGACCGCAUUUGAAGGAGUCUUCGAAUUGGGACAGGCCGAGUCGCGGCGCUGUGACGUAACCGGCCGACGAAUCCGGCCGAGGUAGGAUGCAGACCCUGAAUUGAGACACAGCCCAUAUCAACUACUCCCUGUCACAUGACCCACGUCAGCUGAUGUGAGGUCCCUCUCCUGAUUGGCUCCUUCCAAGUCGCGGCAACCAUGAAAGCUGCUCCUGCCGUAAGCUUGUUGCUUGUAGAACGGCGUUGGAAAACAAAGCGUUUUUCCCCUCAAUUCAUUUAUACUCUCAUUUUUCCUCAGCGGUCAGGUUUUUUUCCCCAUGUUGAACUGAUGUUCUUCAUAUUGAAGUGGCGAGCUGGCUUCCCACCUGACCUCCUGCACGACCUGUUUGAAGGCAUUGUUCCAGUGGGGAUAGCUCAUUGCUUAAAAGUGUCUGACUAAAGAAACAGAACUGAAAUAUCAGCGGAUCUCCCCAGCCCUUCUGCCAGUGUACAGGACCUACGACUUCAGAUGGAGGCAACAGAGAGACUGAAGCUAAGGGUCAUCCUUGAUCAUGAUAAUGCUGAAAGACUUAUUCUGCCAUCUCGCCCAAGCAGUGUACAGGCCCUCAUAGAUUAAAUCUAAACUAGGCUAAAGUUGACUUUUGACUUUAGGCUUCAGUUUGAAGAUCUAGAUUUUGAUCAUGCAUUGUGUAAUUUGGUUGAAAUGGAACACCUCCCAAGCACAGCAUCGGUUAAAGUAAUCAUAUUAGUGGAGCUGGACUUGAUUUCAACCAGCACUAGUGAGACAAGUCUUCUGAAUGAUAGCACUGAUGCCAUAGAUUCACCAGAGCAUAUUAGUCGGUGGCCAGAGGUUUUUAUUGUUCCAAAAUUUUCUUAUGAGGUGGAACAUGUGCUAAAGGAAGGUAAUGCAGCAUUUGAAAAAGAUGGGAAACUAAUUAGACUUCCUAGAGAUCAAAAACACAACAUACUUGAGGUAAUGGGGAAGAAAUCUUUAAACUGAAGGCAUAUCCUAGUAGCACACAGAUUGGAAAGGCUGCAAAAGCUUUAGUUGAAAAGCAUCCCUGUCUCUGUUAUGGUCGGCAUCUGCGUCUCCCCUCAUGUGUCUCCUUGUGUUCUCCAUCCCUCUCUAGGUUCUCCUUUUGUGUCUCCUAGCGCCCUCAUGUGUCCUUGUCUGCGUCUUCCUCAUGUGUCUCCUUGUGUUCCUCAUUUUUCCCCAGAUCUACAGCACUCUAGGUUUCCCUCCCCAGGUAUCCCCCUCCCAGGUCCAGUGCUCCCGUGGUCCCCCUUAGUCACGCCCCUGUAGUUUUUCUUUCUGUAGUGUUUUCCUUUAGUUUCAGCUGUUCAUUUUAUUAACUCUCUUUAGUGUGUUUGUCCCACCGGUGUUUGUGAUGUUCCUGCCCCUUAGAAUAUUAGUUAUGUUUGCUGCUCUUCUUGUCUUUAGGUUUUACUCUUAGGUCAUGUUAGUUUCCUCCCUGAUUAGUUAAUUGCUUUCACUUGGUUUCUCUCCCAACGCACCAGCUCAUCUCCCUCUCAUCCUCCCCAGUGUAUAAAACCCUGUCUGUGUCUCACUAUUUUGUCGGUCCAUUGUGUCUGAGCUGUUCUGUCCUUGCUCCUGUUUUUAAACAUCAGUUUUUUUGUGUUUUAACCGCUGGAUUAAGCCUCCACCUUAAAAGAAUAAAGAAUUUACUUCUUUACCUCUGCUCCUGUCUGAGUGAUCUGGUGUUCUGCAUCUUGGGUUCAAACCUCCUGCCCGUCAGUGUGACCGUCUGAAGGAGAACAAUUCUGACACUGGUUGGGAAGGAUGGAAGAAUAGUUUGAGGCACAAAAUGGGAAACCAAAGAAAUAAUUUGGCCAAAGCUGGCAUCAGAGGUGUUGCUGUUAACUCUGGAAAGCGCAGCAGAAUGAACCCAGAAGGAGCUGCACCAAGGGCCAAUAUUAAAAGACCUAGGAGAGGUGAGGUCAACUUCCUUCCCAGUUGUCCUGGAGAAACCGAGUCUCUGGGGAAAAGGAGGGGUGAGAUGAUAGAAGAGUUCCGGAAGACCUCUGCUGAAAGGGACAUUCCACUCAUUCAUCAGCACAUGAUGCACUCUUUUUCCCUGAGACGUGAAGAGAUCAUUACAUCUUCUCUUCCUGUAUCAGAGCUUAAGGACAGAUGGCCAGCUCUCUUUAAUGCGACACAGCUCUACUGUGGAUUUCACCAACACAUUCUCACACCCUAAGCAUCGGAAACAAACGCUUGGUCAGCCACCCUCCACGUCAGACCCCAGACUCCAAAAGUGUCCUUUUUCUUUACUUAUGUGCGAAAAUGGGUUUUUCCCUUUUGUAACUGCAGAUCCCAAUGCAGCGUUACACUGACGUGAUGAGAUAUCCGCUGAUGCGGCACCGAACCAGCUCGUUUAACCGCACCUAAACCUUAACAUUUCACUAUUUAUAACCUUCCCCUCUCCCUCAUCCUAACCUUCACCCUCUUGCUACCUAAAACGUUACUCUCACUGUGAUCAAGCGUUUGUUUCCCAUGCAUUCUUGACAGUCAGAGUCUGACUGUCAGUUUUCGUAUUUGCCGCCCAAGUGUAAAGUUAGAACAUACCAUAUGGCGAGGGGGAGGUUACACAUACCCUCUACUUUUAACCUCCACUGUGGUAGUUGAAACCUCCCCCUCACGUUGCCUCGGUCCAAACUCAACCAAUGACGAGGCACCUCCCGCCGUUCACUUCAUAGAGCCGGCUUUUAGAGCGACCGACACAUCACUAACGUGUUCGCUAGCAAGAUGGUUAAGGUUAGGAUAGGGGUGAGGGGAAGGUUAAAAAGAGGAUAAGGUUAGGGUGAGGUACAAUGAGCUUGUUUGGUGCCCUGGCUGCGGACAUCCCAUCGCGUCAGUGUAACGCUGCAUUGGGAUCUGCAGUCAAAUAAGGGAAAAAACCCUUUUCGCACAUAAGUAACGAAAAAGGGCACUUUUGGCCUCAGGGGUCUGACGUGGAGCGUGGCUGACCAAGCGUUUGUUUUUGACGCGCUGGGAGUGAGAAUGUGUUGAUUUCACCGGAUUACCAAUCUUCAUCUACCACAUGUUUUUUAUGCUGCACUGGAUGAAUAUGCUCCUCAACUGACUGGACUUUAC